UACGUAGGGUGCAAGCGUUAAUCGGAAUUACUGGGCGUAAAGCGUGCGCAGGCGGUCUUGCAAGACAGGUGUGAAAUCCCCGGGCUUAACCUGGGAACUGCACUUGUGACUGCAAGGCUGGAGUACGGCAGAGGGGGAUGGAAUCCGCGUGUAGCAGUGAAAUGCGUAGAUAUGCGGAGGAACACCGAUGGCGAAGGCAAUCCCCUGGGCCUGUACUGACGCUGAGGAGCGAAAGCGUGGGGAGCGAACAGG
rnacentral:rRNA from 1 species